UCCAAGGCCUUUUUGAAGGCCACCACUGUUGUACAGUUUAUGGAAU
rfam:Echinostoma caproni strain Egypt genome assembly, scaffold: ECPE_contig0004748